rnacentral:tRNA from 1 species
AAAUAUGCCCGGCCACGGUGGGAUUCGAACCUACGACCUUUGGAAUACCAGCCCAAUGCUCUUCCAACUGAGCUACACGGUCAGGACGGUUCGAGUAAGUGAUAUUUCGGAACAGAAUCUAGUUCCUUCGAUACCAAUGUUUUCUAGUAAUAUGAUUUUUUUUUUUUCUGUGUUGGUGUAGUGUACUCAGGUGAAUAUGAUAUUUGUGGUGUUACUCUGAGUGUAUAUCCACACCGGGCGAGCUUGAAAAAUGUGCCCGGCCACGGUGGGAUUCGAACCUACGACCUUUGGAAUACUAGCCCAAUGCUCUUCCAACUGAGCUAUGCGGUCAGGACGGUUCGAGUAAGUGAUAUUUCGGAACAGUAUCUAGUUCCUUCAAUAGCAAUAUGUUCUAGUAAUAUGAAUUUUUUUUU